rnacentral:rRNA from 1 species
GACGAACGCUGGCGGCGUGCUUAACACAUGCAAGUCGAACGAUGAAGAAGAGCUUGCUCUUCGGAUUAGUGGCGAACGGGUGAGUAACACGUGACUAACCUGCCCCUUUCUCUGGGAUAACGCUCCGAAAGGAGUGCUAAUACCGGAUACUCCCAUCGAGGCACAUGCCUUGAUGUGGAAAGUUUUUCGGAAAGGGAUGGAGUCGCGGCCUAUCAGCUUGUUGGUGAGGUAACGGCUCACCAAGGCGACGACGGGUAGCCGGCCUGAGAGGGCGACCGGCCACACUGGGACUGAGACACGGCCCAGACUCCUACGGGAGGCAGCAGUGGGGAAUACUGCACAAUGGGCGAAAGCCUGAUGCAGCGACGCCGCGUGAGGGAUGAAGGUCUUCGGAUUGUAAACCUCUUUCAGUAGGGACGAAGCGAAAGUGACGGUACCUAAAGAAGAAGCACCGGCUAACUACGUGCCAGCAGCCGCAGUAA